rnacentral:rRNA from 1 species
AUUGAACGCUGGCGGCAUGCCUAACACAUGCAAGUCGAACGGGGCAGCAAUGCCUAGUGGCGGACGGGUGAGGAAUACGUAGGAAUCUGCCCUUAAGUGGGGGAUAACCAGGGGAAACCCUGACUAAUACCGCAUGAUCUCUUCGGAGCAACGAGGGGGACCGCAAGGCCUCUCGCUUCUGGAUGAGCCUACGUCUGAUUAGCUAGUUGGUGGGGUAAAGGCCUACCAAGGCGACGAUCAGUAACUGGUCUGAGAGGAUGAUCAGUCACACCGGAACUGAGACACGGUCCGGACUCCUACGGGAGGCAGCAGUGGGGAAUAUUGGACAAUGGGCGCAAGCCUGAUCCAGCAAUGCCGCGUGUGUGAAGAAGGCCUUCGGGUUGUAAAGCACUUUAGCCUGGAAAGAAAAAACUUUGGUUAACACCCAAAGUCUUGACGGUACCAGGAGAAUAAGCACCGGCUAACUCUGUGCCAGCAGCCGCUGUAACAC